UGCCUACUGCUCUGUGAACUUGAUCUAUGAAUAGGAUUUGUUUAAAUAUUUUUUUCAUUAUUAUUUAUUUUUUAAAGACAAAUUAUGGUAACAUGGGCUGCAUUGGAAUUCACACUGUAUCUACACCAGCAAACUGCAGUAUGUAUGUCCUAACAUCUCUCCCUCCAGAGAAGGUCAAGACUAAAGUCUAAAGCCAAAUCACAUCCGUGGGACCCAGUGCCAUACAAAAUGGACUGCAACCCCACUUGGGAGUGUCUGCCCUAAACUCUUUCGAGGACAACUACGCAAAACAGGUGGAACUCCCUAUCUUCAAGUACUGCAAAGUAAUACAAGUGGACAAGAGUCUGGAUUAAGGCUGCAGAAGUAAUCUCAAUUCUUAAUUUUAUAACGAAAAGAGCCUCUCCUACAAUGGUAACCCAGGAACCAGAGGAAGGAAAACAGCAUUAGAGGCUUGCAACUCGCCAUUAUUGUCUGAUCAGGGCAUUCCUUGAGAAGCACAUUCAGAGAAAACUACAUGGCAACCCAGAAGAGCACACUGACACUAUAUUCUCAUCUGCUUUGGUAAUUCUGUAUUUCAUUUAUUUUGGACCCUCUUCACAUCCAUGCCCAAAGACAGUAACUUAUGAGUAAAAAGAUGUGGUGGCUUAACCUUCAAGAUUCUUUAUCUUUGAACAUUGAUUCAGAGUCACUGCCUCAUUCUGUACCCACUGCAAAAUAGGCUCUUAGACUACAUUCUUCCCCAACUGGCCUAGUCUGCUGCUAUUAGUCAAAUACGUAAAUCCCUCAUGGCUAAAAGGAAGACACGUAAAAUUCAUGGGGGACUUGAAUUGAUGAGAUACACUGGACCUUAAUCAAAAUUGGGCUGUUUGUAUCACUGGUUUGUAAGCUUUAAGAGCAAGGAGCUAUGUUGUAGGUGUACCUGUCUCCAGCUCUGUCACAGCCAUACCCAUGCCUGACCAUGGAUCCCAUUGGUCUGUGGACUAGCUUCCCGGCUUGACCUUGGACCUGUCUCAUCACUAUGGACCCACCUGACAAUCACUGGACUGUGUCUGACCCUGGUUACCUUCACUGGACCUGCUCCUGACCUAAGGAUUGACUUUCUAGGUUGAUCUCAGACCCGCCUCAUCACCAAACACUUGUCUGGCAAUCUGGACUUUUGGUUGACCCUGGUUACUAUCCCUGGGCCUGCCCUGCUCACCUUGCUUUGGUACUGUGGGACUGGGCCUUGGCUGGUGAGGCCCCUGCCCUGCUGGCCAUGUUAUUGUGCUUAGCUCCCUGUCCCUUAGGGAGCAGCCAGCCCUUGCUGCUCCCUGACAGAUUGACAAAAAUCUAAGGGUGAAAAAAAGAAUCUCUUGCAUAUGUAUGAUGAGUCUUCUUUCUCAGAUGUUCUGUACCUAAGAGUUCUUCAUUAUUUACUAACAAGAAACAGAAAAUGAGAGGAAGUUAUCUUCAUCCAUUUCUCUUGACCAUAAAGCCAAAAACAGGUGCAGUGUUAGAGUAAUUGCAUACCCUUGCUCCUUUUCUAGCUAACUCCUUUUGCACAGUCUUCAACUAGCAAGCCAUUAGAGAAAUGUGCGUGGAGAGGAACUUUCAUUAUCUCAGGUAUCA